UAAAACCCCUGUUCAUGAGCUUGGGCUGAAUCUUUGGCGUGAUAACAUAGUACGUUCGAGUAAUAUUCAGAUGAGACUUCUGAGUACGCUUCUUGAACUUAUACUCAAAGAAAGGGAUGGUGAAGUAAUUAACCGGGGACUGAUGAGAAAUAUAAUUAAAAUGUUUAUGGAUUUAGGACCAUCUGUAUACCAGGAAGACUUUGAAAAACCUUUCCUUGAAAUAUCAGCUGAUUUUUACAGAGCCGAGUCUCAGAAAUUCAUUGAAUGUUGCGACUGUGGAGACUACCUCAAGAAAGCCGAAAAGCGUUUAACCGAAGAAAUUGAGAGGGUGUCACACUACUUGGAUCCGAAGACUGAAGCGAAGAUCACUAAUGUGGUGGAGAAAGAGAUGAUUGAGA
rnacentral:misc_RNA from 1 species